rnacentral:misc_RNA from 1 species
GCUUCAAUGAACCCAGCUGUGUCAUUUGGCCCAUCUUUGGUUAGCUGGACCUGGACUCACCAAUGGGUUUACUGGGCUGGACCACUUAUUGGUGGUGGGCUUGCUGGAUUCAUCUAUGAAUUCAUCUUCAUUAGCCACACUCAUGAGCAAAUCCCAAGUGGAGAUUUUUAAGUAGUGCUGAAUUUUUAUCAACUCGUUGUUUAAUUUUCAUUUUCUCUUUGUAAACUUCUUUGUUUGUUUGUCUAUGUUUAAUGGGCACUGUUGAAUUGUACUUUGUUUAUUCGGACGGCUUUUGUUAUUUAUUUUCUUUAUUUUGAUCG